UUCUUAAAAUUGUAUAAUACAAUAAUAUUCAUUCAAAAGUACUUAAAGUAACUUGGUACUAGUACUUUUCAGGUUCCUUUCCACUUCAUCAUCCGGAAGUCACCUAAAUCACAGUACUGUGUGAAAAGAGGACAUAAGAAAAGCAUAAUAUGCAACCUUUUCUUCUUAAGCUUGACUUGCUCCAGCGCCUGCAAAAAAAUGGGAGUGGAUAGUCAACACUUGACCAGUCUCUGGAGUAGUAUUUUUCUCCUUAGUAUUGAAGAAUUUUGAUUCUGUUAUUCUUCCGAAGUGAAAUACAGACAUGGCUAUCAAUCUGUCUUGAUAGAUUGAUAGAAUCUGUCUUGAUAGAUCUUGUCCUCCAAUUUCCUUGAGAAUAGUGAUUUUGUGAUACCAGGCUGAUAUGUUCUUUCUCAUAGGGUAUUUCUUCUGUGGCACAACAGAUUGCAUUUUGAAAAUAUUUUACACAUAAAUACAAUUUCUAAAGAAUUGCAUUUCCAAUCCACCAGUGCAAUGUUUUUCCAUUUCCUGUGUAGGAAUCAAUUCAUUAUAAGUACUUGGUGAAAGCAACACUGGCGAAACUUCCAGUUAGAUAAUAUGUAUGUUAUUCUAGGUCUAAAGGAUGUCAGCUUCACUAGUGGCCUGGUUGAAAUUUUAUUCUAGUUCUUUGGGGUUUUUUGUUCAAGUAUGUUCUAAUUUUAGCUGUUUCUGAAUUUGUGAUUGCCUUGUUCAGUUUCAUAGAAUUAUGAAAGUGUUUUUGAAUGAUGACAGCACCAACAACAUCUUGCUUGUCUAGUAGAAUGAAUUAGUAAAGAGCAAAAUGAACGAUGCCUAAUGUCAUUUAGACUUUUGCUCCUUAUCUCUUAUAGACUCUCACCCCACAUAAUAAAUUGAUGUGCGGUCUCUUAAACUGGUGUUGCUCUUGAUUUCUGUAAUUCCAUGCAGAGGACAGACCUUGGGCAAAAUCCUAGCUGCUGUCAACAGAUCUAUUCCCUUUCUAUCAAGUGUUGCUGUGAUAACUUGCAUGGACUGCAGGUCUAAUACCUGCUGUUAACUCUAAUGUGCUAGUUGGAGAAAAUUAGAAGGAGCACUAAUAUACAGAAAUAAAAUUAAAUUUUAAAUUAUUAUUAAUAUCUUGUACCUUACCAGUUCAGCCCUGAUAGUUUGACUUGUUUUGCAGUUAAAUGUGAACUUUUUCACAACUGUGUGGUAAUGGAGAUGUUUAUGUUUCGGUGUGAACCUCACAAGAGGCAAUAUUACUUACAAAACCUGUGUGUAAAUGGUAGGUUAUAUUUCAAAGUCACUUUGAAAAUGUUUCCUUGUCUUAAAUUCAGAGUUUAGAUAUAAUAGUGUUAGCUUAACUCAAGUUUUGCCUUGCUGUAACUUAAAUUUGGGUCUCAUGUAGAAGUCUACUGGCUUGAGUUGAGUGGUUUUUGUGUUGACUCAUUUGACAGGCUGAUUUGAAGCUUUCUGGCUGAUGGUACUGGGCAAAUAAUGGGGAUGCAGCAGCUCAGCUUACACCUACUUAGCUGCUCAUACUUUGUGCGUAGCUCAAAUGUUGUUUUAGAAUGUGGCUGUUCCUUCUCUUCCUUCUAAAGCUGCGUCAUCUUGAGUGGAGUAUCUCCAGGCUUCCAGCCUGAGGUAACUGGAGCAGUGAAGACAUGAUUACAGGGCUGUCUGCUUGGCAAGGCUGCACUUUAAUUUUCAGAUGAUUUAUGAUAUCAAAGCAACAGGACAUUGCUAAUAUGUACUGUGCUGUAGUGAUUCAUGCUUAGCUCAGUAAUUGACAUGAAACUUAAUGGCAAGCUAUGAGUUAACAAGUAAACUACUAUGGAUCGUACUGCUCUGUGGGUGUUGCAGAAGUUGGAAACAAAUCUGAAACUGAGCAUUAAUUGAAGACUACUAUACCUACAGUUCAGUGGUACUUAAAUAAUUCUGCUUGAAAAAAAUGCAUAAAAAUUACAUGUUGCUUAGGAAAAACAACUAGAAGAAAAUGAGAUCUUAAAACAAAUAGGUGUUGAACCUUACAGGCUGCCAGGCUGAGAUCAUGGCAACACAUAAAGUGGAGCAAACUAGAAACAGCUUUUACUGAGUUGGGGCAGUGGUUAUCAAACAGAGCUGACAUACCUGUCUUCCAAGUGAUUUUAGCUGCCAUAGCAGAUUAUUUUUUAAUGCUAGUUAUGAAAUCCCAGGCUUUGCACAACCCUUUUAGCACAACUCUAUAACCACUAAAAAUAUUCUUCAGAAACCUUUUUUUCAAAAGGACUCACUCACAAGUGUUAUUAUGUCUGCUUAAUGCUAGCGAGAAUGUUUACAGCUCUUGGAUUUUUACUGCACUAUUAAUUUCUAUGUGUUAAUGCUGAAUGUCAAACUACCUGAAUGCGGAGGAUGGUAGGAAUUGUCCUCCCCACUCUGUCAUAAUAUGGUUGGAGGCUGUGGGCUGUGUCACCCCUCCUCUAAGAUAGAUUUCAGCAUACGUUGACCUGAAAACAGAGCCCCUGUCUUGCUACUGCCAGGGUGAAUGUGAGCCCUGUUGUUUCCUCAGCUGAGAGUUCUGCAGUACUUGGGUACCCCAUAGAGCCCAUAAUCUGUCCUUUUAUUUUUGUAAAUCGACAGCACCAUGGGAAUUUUGUGAACUAAAGAAAGAAGGUAGUCUAAAUUUCUGUUCCCAUAGGUCAUAAUUAAGAAUUAAAUUCCUCUUUCUGCCAGACUGGUUUUGCUUCCCGUUUGACAUCCACUCGCUGAGAGUGAGGUGUGUCUCACUAAUUGGUUGCAUCAACAGCAAAGAUGAGGAAGGAGGCAAAACCCAAGCUUACAGGUUUUGCUGAGUUUGUUUUCCUGGGCUGUGCACUGGUACUGCUGGGGUUUGCAGUGAGGAGUGAAGGAAGCAGCUGGAGGGGAUUUGGGCAGUGAGAAGGCAAGAGUACUCAGCUGAAAAUGGUAUCCUAUAAAGACCUUUCAGCUGACAGGAACAUCAAUGUGUGAAACUAUUUGCAUCGGUAUGACUGGUAGGAGCUGUGGCAUCAUAUCUGUUGCCCAAGUAAUACUCUCUGAAAUAGGUUUUUUUCUGGGCAUUUUGUCACUCUGAUCCUUGGGUUAGGUGCAGCACAGCACUAUAGAGAGCCUUUCUUAUUCUAAAUACGUGAUUUACAGGUGCUGAAGUAGGAUAUUGGAGUAGUGAGCUUCUUGCGUAAGGCUCAGACUGAUAGAUGCACUGUGGGAUUUAGAAUACGGAAGACCUUAAUACGCCAAAACAAUGCCGCCCAGGUAUUGGAUAUGUUGCUGCUUCUAUGCUGCCAGAUGCAAUAGUGGUCUUGUUUAUCAUCAGUAGUUGAGAAGGAGAUGUCUUACUUCAUUCUAGCUCUGCCUUCUUUCCAACUCAGACCUUCUGUUGUCACCGUUCCGAUUUGAUUGCUGCAGGCAAGCAACGUGAGAAAGCCCUGGUGGGUGUACACUGUGUGUGUGUUACUCCAGCUACCCGUGUUUGAGGUGCUGGUGAUUAUCGUCCUGGUAGAGGUUUAUCAUAUGGAAAAUGCAGAAAGUGUCACGUGUCAUGAAAGGUAGCCAGACCACAGGAACAGAACUAUAAGUUAUGUCAGCAAUAGCAAAGGAUGAAAUUCUGUGUCUUCUGUUAGCCAGUGGAUUGGGCCUCAUGAUCAUGGUCUGCUAUGAAAUUAAAAAGAAGGGAAUCGGUGGCAUGUGGUGGUAAAUGAAAUGGGUGUAAUGCAAUCUAAGGAAGUUUCUUUUUUGGAGAACUGAGAGAAAUUUUUCAGGUUUCGAAAUUAGUUUAAGGAGUGAAGCCAAUUUAGAAAUUCAGUACAUAAGCAGAAAAGAAAAGUGAAUGGAUUAAUGAAUAACCAGGAUGAAUAGUGGAAACUAAUUGUAGUGGACUGCAUAGUUGCAGUAAUGUAUUUGAAUAAUGUAAUAAGAUGUUAAAAUUAUGGGUCGAAUUCUAGCCUUCUCGACAUGAAUUAAUUCACUUGAAUUUGCUCUCAUUUAAUGCUGUUUAACAGAAUAUUGCCUAGUCUGCUUUUUCUAAGCAGCUUUUCAGCUCUCCAAGAAAAGAGUGAAUAAUCCACAUUUAAACUGAACAAGUUUUUAAAGGUUUUGUUCUGGUUUUACUCUAGCAUUCUUUCCCAGUAUAAAUAUUAAUAGUUGUUCUCCUUUCUAUAAUACUACUUGCUGUUGUAUAUUAGUCAACAUUUAUUUAUAGUACCUUGUGGAUUAUUUGGAAAAUUUACCAUAAUGAAAUGAAAUGUGAAGCUGUAUCUCUGUCUCCGUUUAAAACUGUAUUUCAAUGAUGGGCCCUUAAGCAGUGAAAAUAGUGCUGAAAGUUUUUUAAGCCAACAGCUGGAUAUCCUCAGAGGCAGGGUUAGGUUGUUUUUCUCUCAAGAUUUGUGGACAGAUAUUUAUGGAUGUACCAUUUAUAGUCUACAUACAGUGUGUCCAACAUGUCCUGAAUGCCUUGGGUGUGCAGAUCAGUUCUUCAGUACGUGCAGUCAGUCUCGCGUGUCCAGCAGCCGUUUCUGUGGCGUUCCUGCAUGCCUACCACCAGGCUGCAAUAGUGUCCCCACGGGUCUGGAGAUCUGCCUGGACAACUUUUCCAGGCAGAAAAACAGAAGAAAUCUAGAAAAACUCAAAUUGCAGAACAAGAUGGUGUUGGUCAUGGUGUUUGUUUAUUUGGUUCUGGUGGUUUUAGGUGGGUUUUGGUUUGUUUUGGUUUUGUGUUUUGGUUUGUUUUUAACAACAAAACAACCCGAAUAAAAACGAACCUGCAAAAAACCAAACCAACAACAAAAACAAACCAACCCCGAAACAAAAACAAAUCCAAAAUAAACACCCAAACAAGUGAAAAACCAAACCAACAAAAAUCCGACUAAAUAAUGCUGUUUGUGAACUGGGUUAAAGUGGAGUCCAAACCAAGCCUUUCAGCUGGAGGGAUAAAGUUGAAGUGAUGUGUACAAAUACAGCAGCACAGCUCACUAAUUGCAGUGUUCUCAAAUUUUGAGCAUUUGACUUUGUAACCUAAGUCUUUUCAAAGUAGUUAUAAUGUGUUUAAUGAUCACUGCCAUGGCCAGGUCUCUUCUCGCAGCUCGUCCCUUUUGGCUUGUGACCACCUGGUGUCCCCAGCACGGUGACUCACCCGGGAGGUGGCAGACAAACACCGCGGAGCUAGGGGACAAACAGCGCUGAGCGAGGGGACAAGCAGCACGUACCUGGCAGCCACCCAGCAGCGAGCGUGGUGUGGCGGUCACGUUUGGUCUUUUUGUGUCUAAGAAUACAGGACUGUCUCCUGCCACAUUGCUAUUUGACGUCAGAAGUGGCUUUCUAUGAAUCUUGCUGUGAGUCACAGCUUGCAAUGGCGAAUCAUUCUAGAAGUAUUUUAACUCUUUUUUUUAGAAAAAGUCACACGCAUCCUGGUUUUAAAGGCAUUAAUAUUAAAUGUAAUAAAAAGGGCAGAAAGAAGAAUCAUCUGGAAGGAAAACAGAGGCAUCAAAGGAUGAUUGAAAAUCAAAGAGGGAAUUUGUCAGUAUUUAGCAUAUCAGACAUCACCCAACAAAAUAGGAUAACAAAGUGAGGUGGGACAGAGCAUACUUAUUUGUAGUUGGUGUUGCAUGCUUUUGCAUGCUAAUAUUCAGCCUCAGUUGUUUUCUAGUGUACACUUAACUCUGAUUGUAAAUAUAUAGACGGAGCCUUUUAAAAGCAUGGUGUUGAUUGCAGUUGUUUCUCACUUUAGGAUCAGCAAUACAAAUUCCAGUGUUAAUCGUGAUUAUCUGAUACAAUACUGGCGUGCUUCCAAAAAUGUGAUUAACAGGAAAUAAAAAUUUAUCAUCUGCGCAUAGUGUUGCUUGCACUCAAAUAGCUUCUACUUAGCUGAAUAAUCCAAUUAUCAUAAGAUGAGGGUGUAAAAGUAAGUUUAUAAGACAUUAGAUGCUAUUCAUGUUCGUAAUUUGUUGGAAUACAUAAAUACAGAACAUGACGGGUUACCACCUCAGGCUGUUCUGGGUAGAACUCUUGUUUUCUUAAAUAAAAGUUGUCCACAAAUGAGGAAGUUCACCCUGCUGACAUAAAUCCUACCUGUUCCAGCGCUGUGUUUGUGCAGCCUAGAGAAACAGGAAAGGUGGAACUGGCCAACCAGUCCACCUGUAACACGGGGGUGGGGAGGUUGCUAUGUGACUAUAGUGUUUGAUGUUUUACAUGAAAGCUCGGCUCCAGGGAACGCAGGUUUACAUAAGAAUCAAUCUUUCUUCUAACUUGGUUUCCUUCUAUUAUGAAACAAAGCUUGUUUGUGUGAUCCAAGUACAUCGCAAACUCUCCAAAACCUGGAAGCAAUGGGAAGGAAACCAAAGCCCGGGGUUGUUUCAAUCUCCUUCUUUUAGACAAGUUUGAUUUACAGAUCUUGGAAAUAGCAGUAACCUCCUGGUGCUAGGAUAGCAAUUGCCCUCUCCUUCCACAUCCGUGGUCUAUGGCAUGAUCCACAAAAUAUCCCUUGCCUCACUUCACCGUCAAAACUUAUUAUGACUGUCCUGUGUGUCCCACCCUAAGCUACACUUCUGUCUCUAAUGCAGCUAUUGUCAGCGUUUAUUUUGAAGAAAUAACGAAUAUUUCUGACCUCUGAAAAUGUCCUGUACUGGUGAUGUUACCUAGUCCAGACUCAGACCUGCAUGCUGCGCUUGGAAUUACAGCUCCCUUUGAGUUUAGGCCUGUAUAAAUUUACCUUGACAGAUUGCAUACUCUUUGAAAUAAGGAUUGUAUUUUCAUGUUUAUCUCUGAAGCAUCUGGGUACCAUGGUGAUCUGAUCAGACAAGAAGACAGUUAAAUAUGCACUUAAGGUUAACUGACAAUGCCAGGGUCCUUUUUCAUAUGAAGCUGGGCUCCAUGUUAACAGAGCUGUGUUCUCUAGUAAAAAUAGUGAUUUCAAUUGUUAGUAUAUGCUGUUUUCAGUAAAUUAAUAGGGACACAAAGCUAAGGAGGUGCUUUUACAUUUUCUUCAUUACCUAAGCUUGUGUUUAGCAGUGAAGUUACUGCAUUUAAACCUCGGUCAUGAUACCUCAGCUCAGCCACCACAUGCUGUAGUAGAAUUUGCUUUGGUUUUGUAUUUCUGAAAUAGCAUAACGCUGCAGUUUGAAAUCUCAGUUAAAGGACAUGUAUCAGUCCAAAUGUAAGGAAAAAAAACCCUUCAGGUCAACAGUCUGAAAAGUAUUGUCUCUCCUAGACAGGUCUAAUUACAUAUUGAUUAUAUUUAAAUCUUACAUUGCAGUUCAUUUCAUAUUGCAUUCAUGCAUUUGUUAUUUUUUUUCCUUGUGUUAUUUUGACAAUUUUUAAAUAAUAAUACAUGGAUGAGUGUUGACUCUGGAACCCCCAUUUCAUUUUAUUAGCAUAUGGAGGGCAAUGAGGCAGAAAAGGGAAUGUCAUGCUUGUUUGCUAGCUCUUGUUCCAAGUAGUAACUUUCCGAAGACUGUCUGGGGACAGUUCCUGGGGAAAAUUCCUCCCUCAUUAUGGUGCACAUCAUGCCAUACUGUUUGUGAGUUGCUGCCACUACACAGAGAAGCAAUUAAAACCCUCAGUGAUGAACUACAAAACAGACCACAAAGCAGUUCUUGUAUUACUAUGCUUUUAGUUGCAUAUGUGUGUAUGUAUAUGUAAAAUUACCCCAAACAUAAUAAUCCUACAAUGAUUUAAUUCAAAUAUGAGUAUGUCAUGGAUUUUUAUUAUAUUUGUUUGCUCCUUUGUUUCUCAUCAUUCAGUCUUUUUCUUGCCACUCUCUUGCAAUAGUUUGUCCUGGUUUUGUUCCUUGAAGCUGUAGAGCAAGAGCUGCUGUGUAUCAGGAGUAUGCAUCCAUUCUGCUGUAUGAAAACCAGAAUUUCAAUGCAAUUUGAUAGAAAAGACUGUAUCCUACAAGUUUCCUUUUUACUUCUGUAAUAUAUUAGAAAUUAGGAGCUCAGAAGGAUGUGUGUAACCCUGCACAAUUCAGGAAUGCCAUCCGCACAAACAUGACAGUAGGUUUUGGAAUAUUGUCAGCAGUAAAUACCUUGUAAAUCAAGGUGCCCAUUGCAACAACUGUAGCUUUCCCAGUUGCAAACAUAUUGCCAGCAGAUCUGAAACAAUUUAGCAGUGGUUGUUUUCACAGAAUGGUAGAAACAUGCCUUUGGGCUAUUGUUUGGAUGCUGAAAGUACUAGGGGACUUUCUCACAAAGCUGUAUAUGCGUAUGAAAAGCUCUGGACCUACUGUGGUUAAACAUCAAAAUGCACUUUCUGCCAUAUGUGCUGGUGUUCCUGAGUGGAAAUGGCCGAGGUAAGAAUCACUGGUCUGCCAGAACAGGAUCAGUUCAGUCCAUGGACCUAUGUCAGCUGGGUCUGACAAAGUUGCUGCUAAUGCUUUGGUGGACUUUGGCUCUAAAACAGCUUCUGAAACUCCCGUUGCUGUCUCCUUGUAGAAAUGUUGCACACCUAAAGCGCAACAGGUCUCUGUCUUAGUAAUGAGGGUGAACAGAAUCCAUCUCUGUUUUAUGUAACAGCCUACCCCUCCAUUAACUUGGCUAUUGCUAAGAAAUUAAGUUCAGGGGCCUCCUUCAUCCCGUGAUCGCCCAGAUGAACAGAGAAGUUAUUCCAUAAUUCCUCUUGGGUGCAAGCAAAAAAUAACACAGUAUGCUGUGGUCUUGUAUGUCUCACAAUACAGAGCCGUGCAGCACUCUUUGUCUGCGUGCUGGUGUGAUCGAGGACGUGGCAGCAGCACGGAAACUCAGCAAUGGGAUGGGAUUACACAGGGAUAUCCCAGGCUGCUUGAAAAGCGUGUGAUAACUUGCUGCUUGGCUCACAUACUGAGGACAAAUGUUUAGGGAGUAUGAUAAACUAACUAAUGACAGUGUGAGUAUCUGAUAGAUGGAGGGAUGGCGUGUAGUAGUUUCUCCUGAGUUAAUUGCUCAUCCAAGGAUGUAAUUGUGUUUAGGAAAGCUGGAAGACAGCAGGUUUGGCUGGUUAUGUUAGAGUAGUUAAAAGACAAUGCAUUGUGUAUGUUGUCUAGCUCAAUGUGCUUUUUUUCGGUGGUAUCUUUAUCCUCCCACUGUGUUUUUUCUUUCUUCUUUUCCUGUAUGACUCAUUUUUAUAAUAUCCUUUUGUUAUAAUUACUUGCUGGUUUUCAUAAUGAAUCCUAUUGCUUCCUUUUGCUACUGUCCUUUUCAGCUCUGCUUUGAGAAUUCAUAUGUUUAUAAAUUCGUUAUCUUUUCUGCAUUUUUCUAGCAUAAACUAGCUCUCUGUACUAGUUACUAGUGUUAAAGAACCAUGGCUAAGCUGUUUACCAAGUCAUUACGUGUCUCUUCUGAACAUAUUCAAGUCUGUAGGGGGAAACACUGCUGGAUGCACCGGGAGACUGAGAACGCAGUAAAAAAAUGCAAGUUUAUACCAAGAGGUAAUGAGGAAAAAUGCCUCUGUUCAAGAUAUAGUGGGAAGCGACCCUUACAAUCAUGACAAGUUUUGGAAACAUAUUUACUCAGUUUUUCAAAAUCCUCUGAAGAAUACUAUGGAUUAAGGACUGUUAAGGCUUGUUUUGUCUUCUCCUUUGUACUUAAAAGUUUGAGCAUCUUUAAUACUCAAACAGAAGCACUGCUAUCCAGGAGAAGUAACUAGUUAGAUUAAGUAUAUUUUAUAUGUGUAUACAGCUUUUAAAAAUACUUAUCUACGUGUAUAUAUAAAAUUGAGGAAACAACUGCCAUUUCUCUUUCCCAGCUGUAUUUUAUUUGUACUGAUGUUUUUGUGCUGAAUUGUUUAUUUAACUUGUAUUGAAAAGGAGGCCAUAUAGCAUAUGAUGGUAACAACAUUAAGCCAUUUAUGAAGCCCAGAUAUAAGCUGUCUGGGUAAAAAGGUAAUUUCAGUCUUGAGUCUGAAAAUACGUUUUUGUUUUUUCCAAAAUCUGAUUAAAAGAUAUCAUAAUGUUAAAAUACAUUUUAGUUAAGGCAUGCCUUAGGAGCUGUUUGGGUUGAUGCUGUUGUUUCUGUAUAGUCAGGACAUUGCUUAUACAUUUUUCUCAUGUUUUGGUUACUUGACAUAGGGUUAUAGAAAAUAAACUGAACUGUUACUAAAUGUGGCACAUAAGUCACAUACAUCUAAGGUGAUCUAGCGUGUUGUCUCAGAGCCAUCUGACAGCGUUCUGGUAGCACUGCCAUCUAUUUCAGUAAAACAUCUGAGUGACAGUGAACAACAAAUGACUAAGAAAUUCCAAUAAUGUAAGAAGGAGGGAUGAAAUGCGGGCCACUAUUUGGAGAGAAACUAUUAUACCUUUUACUUUAGAAAUAAUAUUUUUUUUUCUGAUUUCACAAAUGAUUAUCUGAAUAUAUAGGACUCAAUUGAGGUAGUUUCUUUUGUAUUUCAGAAAGAUUUCUAGUAAAUACAUUUUGCCAUUAUAUUCUGAGAAUAAAAAAGUAAAGAAAUACCUAGGCACUUGUAAAAUGAUAAAAAUCAGGGAAAGGUUUAUGUUACUUUUCUGUAAUCAGUACCUGUAAAUAACUAUAGAACAUCCCUCUACUCUGCCCUGGUGAGACCACACCUGGAAUAUUGUGUCCAGUUCUGGUCCCCUCAGUUCCAGAAGGACAGGGAACUGCUGGAGAGAGUCCAGCGCAGGGCAACGAAGAUGAUUAAGGGAGUGGAGCAUCUCCCUUAUGAAGAAAGGCUGAGGGAGCUGGGGCUCUUUAGUUUGGAGAAGAGGAGACUAAGGGGGGACCUCAUUAAUGUUUAUAAAUAUAUAAAGGGUGAGUGCCAUGAGGAUGGAGCCAGGCUCUUAUCGGUGGCAAACAACGAUAGGACAAGGGGUAAUGGGAUCAAGCUGGAACACAAGAGGUUCCGCUUAAAUUUGAGAAAAAACUCCUUCUCAGUGAGGGUGACAGACACUGGACCAGGCUGCCCAGGGGGGUUGUGGAGUCUCCUUCUCUGGAGACAUUCAAAACCCACCUGGACAUGUUCCUGUGUGACCUCACCUAGGCGUUCCUGCUCCAGCAGGGGGAUUGGACUGGAUGAUCUUUUGAGGUUCCUUCCAAUCCCAAACAUACUGUGAUACUGUGAUCCUUCAUAGGAGUUGACCAGAUUUUUUUACUGAGCGUAAAUUGGAGAUCUCAUUAGCUGAUUUUCUGAGUAAUUCUUUUUAGGGACUGAUGCAGUUUGUUUCUGUUAAGAAAGGACACAUACCAAAAAAAAGACUGAAAUAAUGUUUAGAAUGCAGUGUCUAAAUGUGUAAGAACAGAACCUGCCACAGGCUAAAGCAAGGGCUUGAGGGAGCAUCACCAGUUUACAAAGUUAUUACUGAAGGAAAGAGUAGUUGUCCAAUCCACCCUCUGCCCUCUCUGCUUUCUCUUUAUCCAAUUUUGUAAAUAAAAAGCUAAAAUCUUCAAUGUGUCAAAUUCUAUCUCUCUAUAUGGGAGAAAUUAUCUCCUUCAAGCUGUAAGCAGUCUUGAAGCAGCACUGACGUUUACAGUCAAAUCCAUCUCUAAUUAAAGAGUAACAAAUGCCUAACAUUGGAGUGUAAUUUGAAAAAUACUGUAAAAAUGAACAACAGCCAGACCUGGAGUCACCAUUACUAAAGGAAGAGAAAGUCCAAACCCAGCAUCUGGAGACUUGAUGCUUUCUGCAUGGUGAUCAUUUCACGUUGACUGUUGGAUCCUGAUUUCUUCUCCUUAGAUUGUUCUUGUCUUUGGGUUAAAUUCUAAUCCUGGAGAAGUUAAUUGUAAAGCUCAGACAGAUAUUACUAGUGGACUGCUUUAAAGAAUCACUUGUGGUAAUUUGCAGAGGCUUGGCUGCAAAAUAAGGUUAUGGCAUAUUUGAGGGAGCUGUCUUGUUCUGAGUGCAGUGCUGUGUUCUGCACAUCAGAUCUGUCAGAUUCUGUCAGACUGUUACGUUUGUUCCCCAACUGCAAGAAUGACAUCUUGUUGCCCCUAACAAUUACUGUAAGAAUGUGAACAGGGGCUGCAGUUGUUCCAGAGCAAAUUGUAUUUUUGACACCUAUUGACCCUUAAAAUCAUUUUAGAAACUGUCUGUCUUUGUAAAAAGCACGAAGUCAUUAUUGAAUUGGCUCUGCAUUCUCUGUCUGUUUCCUAACCAGAAAAAGGAGAAGAAAGUGGAGGAGGCGGGGGGGAAAGAGUGUUAAAAAAAAAAGGCAUUCAGCCCAGACUGGUAUGGCACCUCUAGGCUGUUUGAGUAGGGGGAGAAGGAAACAGCUUUUAUAAACAAGAUUCCAAUUACAAAGAGCAAAAAGGUAAGGGCAGCAGAAGACAUAUUAGCUUGUUUGCUUGCUAUACUUCUUAAACUUUCCUUACCAGCUUUUGAGAAUCCCAUCAGAUCCAUCUCUACUAUUCAUAAAGCACCUGCCUGGCUUUUUUCACUGUGUCUUUGCUACCAGUGCUAUUCUUGCAGCUCACCAGUUCUUCUUUACUACAGGCAGCUCCGGUAGCAAGUCAGCAUAUGGAAUCCAGAGUGUGGUUUGGGAACCAUGAAACUUCUCUAGUCUAGGGGAUACUGACCUGUGAUAUUUUCCUUGCAGGAUCUUCCCUAUUCUCUCUAAAGACUCACAAGACUUUUUUUUCCUGGUUUUUGCCUUUUCCCCGCCCGCCGCUUUAUUUCAUUUUCUCUGUCUUUUUUUCCUUACAGAACAUUUGAUUUAAUAAAUUGCAUUCAGACAGGAUUUUUUGAAAACGUGUAGAAGAUACUUAGGAGAAAACUCCAACAGUCAUACUCUGGUUGUGUCUCUGGUAUAAUUUGUGCCAGUAGCUGUGUCACAUUGCUCUGCACAGCUCUAGGAUUUACACGUGUCAUGGGUAACAGAGUCUACUUCAUAUUCUCUUUGUAGAUGUCAAGGUAAGAAGUAAACAGCCUCCUCCCAGACACUACUGAAGUAGCUUUAGGACUAAAGAAUAGGUGCCAUGGUACUCAUUAAUUCGUGCCCUGGUUUCCUCAGGUAUCCUCGUGUAGGAGUUGUUACUGAGGCAACACAAGGCCGGCUGUGCAGCUCUCCUGGGAACAAGUCACUGGGGUGUGUCAGGUGUCUACAUACACAUACACAGUGGCUCUGGAUUCAAAAUUGCCUUUUUUGUUUGUUUUACUUAGGUUAAGCAGCUGAGAAAAGCAAAUGGGAAUGGAUUUUUUUCUUUAAGGAGUACUUAAAAGUUUAGGUUUGUUUGUUUUUAUAUUUGGAUUUUAUGUUACUUUUCUGAGCCCUGCUUUGAGUGGCAGAGAGUAGAAAUGCUGCUCAUCAGCUGACCUGAGCCUGCACAAAGCUGAUGAGUGGGUGGCUUUGCCAAAUGCCACCCUGUCAAGUCUGAUAGCGAAGGCUGAGCAGAAUCACACCCAGAUCGAACUGGGAAGAGUGAUUUAGCUGUUUUGUAUUGAGACAUUUCUAAUGGAGCACUAGUGUUUUGUCCGUGCUGGCUGCACGAAGCUGCGGAACAACGCAAUGAAGGAUACAACCGUGUUGUUCUGAACAGGUGCAGUUGUGAUAGUUGAAGUGGUCUGCUGAGGUCACAGCUUUUACAUUUGGCUGGAAAUAUAAUAGAUAGGAAGCAGAAAUCAUUUCAGUUUGCCCCAAAUGAAAGCCCAAUCCCUAGAGACAGGCAGCAUAUGCAGUUCUUUCAUAUUAGGUCAUAAAUUGCAUAUAGUUGUUUGUCUAACCUUUUUGGCAUUUUGUGUCUGUACAGUAGACGUUAAUGCACCUGAAAAUAGAAAGUCUGAGCCUUAUAUAUUCAUCCGUGUUUCAUAUUUUCAAGCAUGUGUAUAUAUUUAUAUAUGUAUGUAUAAGGAUAUGCAUACAAAUUUGUGUGACAGGCUCCUUUAACAGUAAUCCUGACUCAUCCAUUUGCAUCAUGCACAGCUGACCAGCAUUUAUCUGCUCUGUUCCCCAGAGUCCACUUUGUACGUUAACAUCCAUGUCGCUCUUGCUGGUAGGAUGGGCAGGACUGGAACUGGAAUUACAAGGCACCGACAGGAUUCCUGCCUAUUCCGUCUCUUAGAAAAAAAAUAUUUGCUCCUGUCCUUCCUUGAAGUAGGGUGUGUGUAGAGACUGUUCUAUGGUGGCUUCCAUUUGAAAGUCCUCUUGAAAAUCCUUUUGGAAGUGUAAAAGGCAGUCAAGCCUUGCAAGUUGUUGCCUAUAGACAUGUACUUCCAGGUGUAUUUUCUGCUCAAAUCCUGUGUUCCCAUUUAUUUAUAGUGGCUAAAUGUUCUGAUAAUGGAAACCUCAGACAGGUGAAGUGAGAUCUUCAUGCCUUGGUGCUUGUUGGGUUAGCCAGUUUCAAAAUUACUUGUUUUGGCAAACUGCUGUAUGUUGCCUAACACUUGUUCCACCGGUGCCACAAACAGAUCCCAGAAAUGAAAGUUUCUUUGUGAAGCACCCAGCUUUCUGUUAGUAGGAUUUGGAGGAGUUUUGGAGUAGCUUAAUUUGCCGUGGUGAUGAAGUAUGAGGUCAGAUAUUAAUUUAAGACCACCUUAAAAGGCCUGGGAGGAAGCAUAUUUCAGUGAGUGCUUUGGCUGUGGUGUGAAUACCUGUUAGGAAAGGGCUCCAUCCCAGGCCACUCUUCCACCUGCUGCUGGGUUUUCUUGCCAGCUUAGUCUGUCAACUCAUCUUAGACUGUAGCCAGAUGAUAAGAUGGCAUAUAGGAACUCUGAAUGCAAAAUCAAGAUUAAAAAAUGGAAGAAAAAUAAAAGUCAAAGCACACAAGUGCUAGAAAAAAAGGGGAGAUCACUCUAAAGACUGGAUUACUGCUAGUCCUAAGCUUGAUUAGGCUAACAAUUCUCUUCGUUAUCAUAACUGUAUGUUUAAAAUACUGAAACAAGAAGAGAGUCAGGAUACUAACACAUGUGGGACCAUCCUUGUGACUAGAAGGAUUAGUCAAAACACACGCAGAAGGAAAAAAAUUGAUACAAUAAGUGUUUCAUCUUAGUGGGUUGUCCAAGAGAAGCCCCCAUAUCUACUGAAUGAUUUCUGCAUGGCCUGCUGCAUCCUGUGACCUCCAUGCACAGCUUUUAUUGUACCAGCGUGUAGGUACAGGAGAAAGAUUAGCUCUGAAAAACAAGUUUUAAAAUAAUUGCUUUACAGCAAUUUUGAAAGAUCUUUUUUCUUCCAUUUGACCAUGAAAUUGAAGUAUCCUGCUGACGGCUCCAGCAUAUUUUUUAAUUGAAUAAUUAACAUGGAUAAUGGGCAUUCAGCAGCGUUUUUGUUGGUAAUCACUGGAUUUACUAAUCUCCCAGAAGGUGGGAUGAUUCAGAAUCUUUUAACGCCCAAAAUAGAAGACAAUUAAAACCCAACAUAUACAAAUUGAAAUAGAAUUGAGUACAAAUGCUGAAGACGAAAAAUUAGAAAAUGAGCUUGAGGGAAAAAUUGGGGGGGAAGGAAAAUAAUAGUCCUAAAUGGUAAUGAUAGCAAGGAUACUUAUGAAAUCACAUUUGAAGUAUUUGGAGUUUUCUGUACCCUGCCACACUUUGCAAGUGACCAAGACUUCUUUCAGAAAAAUCUUGUCCUAGUUUUUUGCCCGGACUUUGCUGCAUGGUAGGUGGGCUUGGCUGGGCUGAGCUCAGAGCACUCACAAAAGCCACAUGGCCACAUGUGAUGGGCCUUAGGAGAGGCUCAGGGUGGGCACACAUCUUCAUAUAGAGUGGGUCAGCUGCUGAAAAUGAUGGAUGUAGUAACUCUGGAGAGCUGUGUCAUGCUGAGAGGAAACUGUAAGGGGUUUUGUGGGAAGGUUAGCUCACAUAAUCAGUGAUAUUUCAUUCCUAAAGAAAGUAAAAUGAACAAAUCCAUAUCCUGGGUGUACUGCAUCACACAUCUAUUAAUGGUGACUUGGAGCUGUAGGCUCCAGGGCCACGCUAACAUGUAGAGUUGCGCAGCAUAGGUUAAUCUUUGGUGUAACAGCUUUCAUUGCAUUAAUGCAGUUUUGGAUGUAGGCCACUGCUUAUGUCCUGUGUGUCACUUACUACAUGUCACUUAGAUUUACUCGACAACAGGGGGGCUGCUGCUUGCCCCUGGAAUGAAUGCUCACAGUAACAAAGAACAAACACAAAGCCGAUGACUUAAUCUCCCAAGUGCAAGAGGUAUUCUUUUAAUUAAAUUAUUAUUGUUAACAUUAACUUGUCCCUCUCUGAAGAGGGUGACAAAAGAAACUGCAGGUGGCAAAUGUUAAUCCCAUCGUUUACUUGACCAGAAGAUGACAGUCAUGCUGAGGUGACCGGGCGUAGGAUGGAACCCAAACAGAAUGGGAAGUGAGUUACUAAUCUUAUUUCCAGUGUCCAUGAAACAAGGCUAUUAAUUAAGCCGUAUAAUAAGUACUCUUUUUACAGAGCUGUAGUGGACACUUGAGACUUCACUGUUGACUUCAAAGAGCUAGUGAUCAAGUUCACAUUGGCACAAGCAGGGCAGGGCUGGAUUUCUUUACACUGUGCUUCUCUGCCAAAUUCUGUCUACUAAAAUUCAUGAGUGCGUGUUUGAAACACUAUUUGCAUGUUUGGAAAAAGCAUGCUGUACAAAGGCAAACAUUUGCCAAUUUGGAGCUGCUCUUUUGUUUGUGGCAAAAAUCUGUCACGAAAUUGGGAAUCUUGACAGAAGCCUUGUCUGCUCCUGCAGAAAUUGUUACAGUCCAUUCCACUGACAAAUGGGUCCAAGGGAGAUCCAGGACAGCAGCGGGCAGGAUGUUCCCACCAGCAUCACCUUCAAUUGUUCUGACUCUUCUCAGCCUUUGAUGCCUUCCAGGUAGAGACUGAACAUGGACCAGUUGUGGCUCAUCCAAGGAACGAUGAAGGCCAGAGUACCUUAGUGCCACUGAACGAUUCCAGGUUAAAUAAGACAAUGGCUUUCGUGAAAUAAUCCUGACACAAUAAAGGAUACUUACGUUAUUAUGCAAUAUGGCAAAGCAGCAUGCAUGUGAACUGGUUUGGACAUUUUUCCAUGUCACUAUAUCAUGAUAGCUUGGCAGUCUCUCAGUGAGUCUUCCCAGGACCUGAAAAACAGAAACGUUGCAAGUCUGAUAGUGUAUAUUGGCAGAACUUCGAGGAAACGUUAGGCUGUGUCUUUUGGAAUCAUGCUUGACUCUAGCCAGUACUACCAUUUUCUGUCUUGUAUCCAUACUCUUCUGCAGACAAAUCAACAACACAAUAAAGCAGAAGUAGCUUAACAGAAAGAAAAAUGGAUUUGGAAUGCUGGUUUUGAUGAGAGGCCGGACUCUGCCUGGCUUUUGUGCAUCAGGUGGUAGAGGAGCUACCAGGAGCAUCGUGCGCCUUUCACACAAGUAGGUGUGAAAGAGCAUAUUUAUUUCUCCUGCUAUGUGCACCUUGGGAUGAACAUUGCCAGAAAAGCGGAUGGGCGGGAAGACAAAGAUCUCUCCCCCAUUUAAAUCUCUACAAGACAAAGGCUGCGAUGCCUUCUCAUCAAAAGUGGCAAGUCUUAAAAUUCUCUUCUAAGUUUCACAGCAGCUGGUUUUUUUUCUAAAUCUUGCUGUUCUUGAAAAACACUUGAUAAGUUUAGUUUAAUUAUUUCUUUCUGAGCAACUGUUAUAGAAGAGAGAACAAAUAAGUGAAUUUUAAAAACACAAAGCCUGGAAUUUAAACUAACCUUUCAUUUAUUAUUAUUUUGAUAUCUUUUGGAUGUCUGGCUAACAUUUCUAGGUCCAUAUAUGGUAUCUUCCACGUAACUUUUCAUAUCAAGUAUUUCUGGGAGUGAGUGUCUUCACUACUUUUCCCUCAAAACUCCAUUGAGUAGUAUAGUAUUUUACCACUGCAAUGUCAUGGUUGUGGUUGUGGUGGUUGUUGUUUUGCCCUUUGGUUUUGAGCAUAAAUUAGCAUUAUGCAUAUUAAAUACUUAACAAAGGUCUGAUUCUACAAACUUUUGUUCUCAAGAUUAGACUGGGAAUUCUUAGGCAGUGAUUAUUCAUGUGACUAAGAGUUGAUAAUGCAAACACAUUUUUACAGGGCUAAAAUGAUAUAGUCUAAAUAUUUUAAUUUAUUUGAUAUGCAGAGAUUUCUGAAUGAAAACUGUUAUAAUAUUUAAGCUUUGUUAAUAGAAUGCAGAUAUUAUCACUGUCUGAGCAUUCCUGCGAUCUGUCUUCUGUACAUUCUCUGCCUUCCUGAAUUUUCCUUCUUUCAAAAGUUAUAAUCCUAGAAUUGAUGGUUUUGAACCUGAAUUUUAAAUUUCAGGUCUCUAUAAGCUAACUGGCAGAGCCAUAUUACUGGCUCUGAAUCUUUGGGUUGCUCUCUGUGCUUGAAAAAUUCAUUUGUUUACUGAUUUAAAGUACAAGUGUGAUCAGGGGACACAAUGUAAGUGGUAAUAGAACUGCAUUACGUCAACGUUAACAUGAAUUGUGAAACAAAAAUGUACAAUUCAAUACAUUCCGUUCUAAAAUAGAGAAUGAAUAGUGCCCGUAUUGAGAUAAUAAAAAGAAUAGUUGGUUAAUAAUCUGUAUAUACAAAACUGGAAAUAAUGGUGUUCUAUCUUAUUUCAAAGAUACUUUUAAUAUAUUAAUCUUAAAGCAUAUUGUUCAUCCAUACACUGAUGGAAGUAUUAGAAAUUCCAAUCUGUGCUGCUGCACCGGAGUUCAAUUUUAUUGUAAUUGCAAGACAUUUUUUAAUGGAUGAGAAUCUUUGUAUUUUUAAGCUAACUAUUAAUAUGUUGAACAGCCUGUGAUUUAAGAACAUAUUUUGGUUUCUUGUAUAUUUAAUCUGUUUUCAUUUCCAUAAGCCUGCAUGUCACUUGCAUGGCAUAUUCUAGGACUGAUUGAUCGAAUGACAUUGAAUUAUGAUCUGCUGUCUGAGCUGGCUUCAUUACUCCAGUGACUUACUACUUUAGAAUGCAAAAAUGUCGAAUUAAGGUAACGCUAUCCUCUCAUUUGCAUAUGCCAAACAUGAUGCUUCAUUGCUUGAGAGAGAGAAGACUCUCCAUGUGCAUCCCAAGUAUGACUGUGCCCCAGCCUGCAAGAAAGGAAAAGGAAUUUGUGCCUUGAAGUGUCUCAUCCUCCAGCUCUGUUGGCAAAGAAGUGAUGGUGAGAUGCAGCUCCCUACAGCCACUGUGAUGGGUACCCAUUAGCAUCAACUACCUGAGACCGCUAUACAGAGAAGGACUGCAGAGAGUCAAAAUUAUUCGAAGGUGAAACUAAACCAGGAGAUGUGGUCCAACUGUCUGCAGGUGUUAGGUUGUGGUUAGUAUGGAUAGCGGGUCCUCAGCACCAACUCUGCAAAUCUGCUUCUGUUGGGUUGCAUCAGAGGAAAACAUCAGAGGUUUCCUGCAGUUUGGUUUAAUUUUCAGUGAAGAAAUAUACCCUAACAAUUCUUCAAGACUGGUUUUUUGUUCCUUUGAUGAGCACUUAGAAUUUCUUUGGAAAGCUGUAAGUCCUUGCACAAAAUUGGCUGUUCACUAUUUUUCCUGAGGAAAGCAUUCACAGAAUCACAGAAUGUCAAGGAUUGGAAGGGAUCUCAAAAGCUCAUGCAGUCCAAUCCCCCUGCCGGAGCAGGAGCACCCAGAUGAGGCUACACAGGAUUCCAUACAAAGCAAGAAGAGGGAGUUCAUCUCAAGUAGACUACAGCCAGCUUUCAUCUAUUUGAUAACCAAAAAGAUUUUAAAGAUUCCUUCUGCGCUUCCUAAGAGUUACCAUUUCAGUCACCCCAUCAUUAUCUUCUUGUGUGGGGAAAGUUAUUUUCCCCAGAGUUACCAUUAAGACUUGGUAGAAUUUGCAAUAGCAAUGUCAGGAUGGUGUGUGAGGUUCUUAGAACUGGCUUUUAAGGUUCUGAGGAAUAAACAAGCAGAAAGACAAACAGAAGAACACUUUUUGGUCUGUUUUUCUUCUUUAGAAGAGCCACAGAAGUGGAUCGCUCCUCGUGCACACCUUAGCAGAUCCCCAAGGAGCAGUGAUCUCGUCACGAAAGGAGCAUCAUCACGAGCGUGUUCCUCACACAAAGCCCCACAAACCACCAGUGGCCCUUGGAAAGUGUCAUCUGUCCUUUGCAGCUUUUAAAUCUUAUGGAGGAGCCAGGUUGUUUAACUCGCAAGUUAAAUAGUAAGCAAUAAACAAAAUGCCUACGCCUCACCCCCCCUUUUUUAGUCCUGUGUGACAGCUGUUUGGGUAAAGACAGAAGUGUUUUGAUGCAAAAGGAAAUGAAGCGGAAAGAAAAGCUGAAAUCUGUGUUUGAGUGUCUGUGCUUGUUCUGGGGCAUGUCUUAAUGUAAACUGCAUAAGGAAACCUGUGUGGUAUUUUAAUUGAGGAAAUACAAUGCUGCUCAACUGAACUUCUAGUUGUUGCGAAAAGAGCAAAGUGUAUGUUUGCUUUAAAUCUGAAUGUCGUUUUCCAUUUAUGCCCAGCAACAGAAGGCUGGAUUUUGGAUAUGUCUAGAAAACAAAUCUAUGGGGAAGGGAUCUGGGGGACUUUGAAACAUGUUCAACUGGAUAUGAUAGUAAUCAGUGGAAAGUGUAAAUUAAGUUUUUAUGCUUUAAAAAAAGCACUUUUUAUCAGUUUAACUCUGGUCUCUUUACAAGUUUCAGCAGGGAUUUUGAUCUUUAAAAGUUUUUAAUCCAAAUGCAUCACACCGAAUGCUUGUUUCUCAUCAUACAAGUCAUACUUCAAUGACAGUUAUGUCAGUCAAAAAAAUACUUUAGAUAAGGAAUUGAGAGGAUAAAAAAAUAGUUAACUCUUUGUCCACUCUUAUCUCUGUUUUGGAAGGAUAAAUGUUGUAAACAUAAAAUAUUUCAUAAAAACCAGCAAAGUGAUACUAGAAUUUGAAAUCCUACCAUGAACUAAAUCCCUGCUUAACAGAUACUGCUAAAUACUGUGGGAAAGACCUUCCUUGUGUUGACCUGUACUUGCUGCUCGCAGUCUUCAGGUGAGGUGACUGCAGCCUGGACACCUUCAGUGGUCACAACAACAUGUUAACAACCAACACGCUUCUGCGGUGUUUGGAUUUCAUCAUUUCUACCUGGGAAACUAAAGUGAAGUCUGCACAGCUCUGUGUACGAGCUGACAAGGAAAAACUCUGCUUUGUUAGCUCUGACGUUCGAUGCAACUCACCCAAGGAAACCCUCUCCUUUUUAGCUGGGUGAGUUGAAUCUGCUAAAUGGGAGGUUCAACACCAGUGCCACUGGAGAGUUGUCACUGGGAGAAUUUCGCUGGAUGUGUGGAUGUUGUAAGAGACCAUUCUCCCCUUUUUAGUCGCAGUGAACUUUUAGGCUGCUCAUGGUUUCAUGCAACUGCACUCUAUGUUAUUAGUGGCUGAACAAAGGGAGUGGUGGAUGGAAUUACAGCCCCGUGUCCUUAUCUUUGUGGUUUUGCUCUAAUAGCAGAGCCAUGUUCAGGACUCCAGUUUGAUCAAGAAUUAAGAGUCCAGCUGAUAUAAACAACUCAUAAGCUGAUAAAAACAACUCACGCUGGCCGUAAAAAGUGUUUUGGUGAUGUAGCUUGUAGCAGUUUGAUGAGUAAAACAAAUUGUUCUAGCCAAAGCAUUUUCUGUCUGUCUACACUUGGGAUUUUGAUAACAAAAAUAGCACAAAAUGUCAUUGGUAGGUGUGCUGCCAAAAGCUUCUAGCCUGCAUUUGUCCUCAGAUCAUUUCUUUUUGCUGCAUAAUAGAGCUGUGUCUAUUGGAAAUAUCUUCUUCUGUAACUUAUGCUUCUUCUUUCUACUCCGAGCACUCGCACCUGACUGCUGCUUCUCCUCUGCAAAGGUGUAGAAACGAGGAGGAACAAAGAGCCUAUGGAGGUGUGUGUUUCAGUGCUGCAGUUUAUAAAUUAAUCUAAAUGACAUAGGCCUCCUUCCACUGGGUUACUUAAGUACUUUGAAACAAAACACUCCCCUCCAAAUGGUAUCAGUAGUCCCCAUUACUUACAGGUGUAACAGGAGUUUCUGUAUUAACCCUUCAGUCGCCUACCAGCACAAAAAUACCUGCCAAGAGAAAAUUGGGGCAAGGAAGUGUUUACUGUUUUACAGAUAACAAAAAUAUCAUAUGAGGGCUUCUCAGACACAGUUGUGUUUAACCUUCGAUAGAAAUGUUUAUCAGAGUGUUUAAAACGUGUGUAGCCUUACCAUGCGUUGUGGGCGGUUAGAAACUCUUCUGUGGCCCAAGUGCACCUUACGAGCAGUUGACUUCACAGGUCCCUUCCCAUCCAAACUAUUCUGUUACCCUAUGAUUCUGUGGCUGCAGGAGGAGAUUCAGCCCUUCAGUUUGUGAUGGCACCAGCCAGACCUUUCAUGCCCUUUGGGCCCCUUUAGUCCCGCGUGUGAUGGAAUUUGCGCUGAACACAAGGAAGCCUUUAAUCCAAAUGGCUCCCCAGAAAGGACAAAUAACGGGUCUUCAGAGAGAUGCUGUGCUGCACAAAAGCAACUGAAGGAGCUUCAAAGAGAUUUGAGAGUUUGAUUACACGCUGCUGAUACUCCUGUUGCAGGCAAGUCUGGCUUGAUCUAAUUAACAAAAACUGGAACGUGCGGACAGAACUGGCAGUGGUGAAAUGUUUUGGGAGGCUCUGUUGUUUAGCGAACAUCUGGAGAGAGACCAGUAUAACAAGAGAGGUUAAUCACCCCAAAAUCACUCCCUUCUUUUCUAAACCUACAUUAAAAUCUCUUUCUGAAUGCUGGUGGAAAUUGUGCAAGUGUUUCAGUGGAGCGUUGGAUUAAUAAUUUUCUGGUUUUAGAGGAUCAGUGUCAUUCAAGUUUACAACUAUAGGAAACAAUUACUUUGCAAAUAUAAUAGGCCCAGGCAGGAUCUCUCAGCAAAGCAUAUUUUAAUAAUGAUUUUGCAAGACCAGGUGUUCUACCUAAAGGUAGGCACACCUAAUAGGGCAAAAAGCCCCUGCUUAUAUCUCCCCAAAAAUCACAGCUGCAAUUUCCCUCCCCUCUUCCCCAUCGGUUGGGUACUUCAGGGUUUACAGACUACCCCGGUGCAUAAAAUACCCUUCCCCUUAUCAAUAUGUAGUCCUGGUACUUUGGCUACACUUCCCCUAAAUUAACUUGUAAAUACAGGUAUCAGUAUAUAUUCCGGGAAGAGACUGUGUUUUACAUUAAGGAUUCAUAGUCUGAUGUCUCUUGGUCCUUCCCCCUAAAUUAACUUGUAAAUACAGGUAUCAGUAUAUAUACAGGUGUCAGUAUAUAUUCCAGAAAAAGACUGUGUUUUACAUUAAGGAUUCAUAGUCCGAUGUCUCUCAGUCCUUCCCCCCUGCUGGGGUCAGGUGCCAGGUCCUCAGUUAUGUAAAAACAACAAUUCUUCAUUAAAUGUUCCUUACACAACCAUAUCUGGAUUGUUCUGGUUAUCAAAUGAUAAAAAAUGACAUGGUGAGGAAUUUUUUUUUCCUGUAGAUCACAAGCAUUUAAUUUGGGGUGAUAUGUAUGCCAAUUUAUGUUUGAGGAUUAAAUACACUUAAAGAUUGAAUCUGCGUGUACUUAAUGCUUUAUAUUGUUAAGUCUUUAUUUAGAGUUUGUAUGGUUAAGCAAUCAAUAAUGUUUAUCAACAUCUGAAAUAUUUUAAAAUAAUUAUAUGUUAAUAAAAUGUAUAUCUGAAUAAUUCUGUAGGACGUUGUUUUUAGGAGACGUGUGAAGAGAAGCUUGAUUAAUAUUUAUAAAAUUAGUAAGCACAAGAUGUAAUGAGCGGCUCUCGAGAGCUAUAAUUUACUAACAUUGACACCUACCUAUUUUUCCCCACCCCUAAAAUGUCUGUCUCAUUAUUUACAAGACUGAGUAUUGGUGGUGGUACAGUAGUAACUUCAAUGUUACGGUUUAGUCCUUCUAUACAAUGACUCUUGUCUUUUCCAAUUAAUUAAUUCAAAUUCUGACUUGGCAUCCUGACAAUCUUUAUUACAAGGAUUGGACCUAAAUAAAGGUUAAAAGCAUGCAGGCACGCGUUGAAAAUACUAGAACAAGUAGUGAGAGAAAAAUAGGAGAGUACAUGUAGUUGUGCAAGUAAAUAAAGAAAUUGUUGGUUAUUUUUGGCAAGAGGUGGAGAACCACGUGAUGUCCAGUUGUAGCUGUAGCCAAGGAUUUAUC